GAUGAACGCUAGCGGCAGGCUUAAUACAUGCAAGUCGAGGGGCAUCAAGGUACACGAAAGUGUAUUGUUGGCGACCGGCGGACGGGUGAGUAAUAGGUAGGUAACCUACCUCAUACUGAGGCAUAGCUGGGAGAAAUUCCAGGUAAUUCCUCAUGAGGUUAUAUGACACAUGUGAUAUAAUCAAAGGUAUCGCAAGGUACUGGUAUGAGAUGGGCUUACUGACCAUUAGCUAGUUGGUGAGAUAAGAGCUCACCAAGGCGAAGAUGGUUAGGGGUUUUGAGAGAGAGAUCCCCCACAUUGGAACUGAGAUACGGUCCAGACUCCUACGGGAGGCAGCAGUAGGGAAUAUUGGGCAAUGGGCGGAAGCCUGACCCAGCCAUGCCGCGUGAAGGAAGACGGCCUUAUGGGUUGUAAACUUCUUUACUAUGUCGACUAACUAGAUUUACGAGAUAAUUCUAUAGAAUGUAGCAUAGCAAAAGCACCGG
rnacentral:rRNA from 1 species